CGAUGAAGGACGUGAUAAGCUGCGAAAAGUCACGGGGAGGUGCAAAUAACCCUUGAUCCGUGAAUCUCCGAAUGGGACAACCCGGUAUCCUGAAGGGAUAUCACCUUACAUUUGUAAGGGGCUAACGCAGGGAACUGAAACAUCUUAGUACCUGCAGGAAAAGAAAAUAACAAUGAUUCCCCCAGUAGUGGCGAGCGAACGGGGAAUAGCCCAAACCAACA
rnacentral:rRNA from 1 species